GACGAACGCUGGCGGCGUGCCUAAUACAUGCAAGUUGAGCGCUGAAGGUUGGUACUUGUACCAACUGGAUGAGCAGCGAACGGGUGAGUAACGCGUGGGGAAUCUGCCUUUGAGCGGGGGACAACAUUUGGAAACGAAUGCUAAUACCGCAUAAAAACUUUAAACACAAGUUUUAAGUUUGAAAGAUGCAAUUGCAUCACUCAAAGAUGAUCCCGCGUUGUAUUAGCUAGUUGGUGAGGUAAAGGCUCACCAAGGCGAUGAUACAUAGCCGACCUGAGAGGGUGAUCGGCCACAUUGGGACUGAGACACGGCCCAAACUCCUACGGGAGGCAGCAGUAGGGAAUCUUCGGCAAUGGACGAAAGUCUGACCGAGCAACGCCGCGUGAGUGAAGAAGGUUUUCGGAUCGUAAAACUCUGUUGGUAGAGAAGAACGUGGGUGAGAGUGGAAAGCUCAUCAAGUGACGGUAACUACCCAGAAGGGGACGGCUAACUACGU
rnacentral:rRNA from 1 species